rnacentral:sRNA from 1 species
GGUAAAUUAUGAGUGCAAUGGUGUUUACAACUAAUUGAUCACAACCAGUUACAGAUUUCUGUUCCUUCUCCACUCGCACUGCUUUACUUGACUAACCUUAA